rnacentral:rRNA from 1 species
GACGAACGCUGGCGGCGCGCUUAACACAUGCAAGUCGAACGGAAAGGCCUGCUUUCCCUUGUGGAUUGCGGGUACUCGAGUGGCGAACGGGUGAGUAACACGUGAGUGAUCUGCCCCCAACUUGGGUAUAAGCCUGGGAAACUGGGUCUAAUUCCCGAUAGGACUGCAGGGUGGUGCCUGUGGUGGAAAACGAUUUUCUAGUGGUUGGGGAUGAGCUCGCGGCCUAUCAGCUUGUUGGUGGGGUAAUGGCCUACCAAGGCGGCGACGGGUAGCCGGCCUGAGAGGGUGGACGGCCACAUUGAGACUGAGAUACGGCCCAGACUCCUACGGGAGGCAGCAGUGGGGAAUAUUGCACAAUGGGCGGAAGCCUGAUGCAGCGACGCCGCGUGGGGGAUGACGGCCUUCGGGUUGUAAACUCCUUUCGACCGCGAGGAAGCCACCUGGUUGGAAGGGUGGUGACGGUAGUGGUAGAAGAAGCACCGGCUAACUACGUG